GGCCUCUUGUUUAUAUAUGAGGUCUGACCUGCCCGGUGAAUUAUUAUUUUAACGGCCGCAGUAUUUUGACUGUGCAAAGGUAGCAUAAUCAUUAGUCUUUUAAUAGGAGGCUGGUAUGAAGGGUUUGACGAGGUGUUAACUGUCUCAUUUAAUUUGAUAUUAAAAUUUAAUUUUUCAGUCAAAAAGCUGAAAUUGUAUUGGAAGACGAGAAGACCCUAUAGAGCUUUAUAAUUAAAGUUUUAAUUUAUUUUUGUUUAUUAUUAUUUAUUAUUAUUUUAAUUAUUUUGUUGGGGUGACAAAAAUAUAUAUAUAACUUUUUUAUUUCUUUAACAUUGAUUAAUGAUUUUUAGAUCCAAUUGUAUUGAUUGAUAGAACAAGUUACC
rnacentral:rRNA from 1 species